rnacentral:rRNA from 1 species
GACGAACGCUGGCGGCGUGCUUAACACAUGCAAGUCGAACGGAAAGGCCCUGCUUUUGUGGGGUGCUCGAGUGGCGAACGGGUGAGUAACACGUGAGUAACCUGCCCCUGACUUUGGGAUAACUUCAGGAAACUGGGGCUAAUACCGGAUAGGAGCUCCUGCUGCACGGUGGGGGUUGGAAAGUUUCGGCGGUUGGGGAUGGACUCGCGGCUUAUCAGCUUGUUGGUGGGGUAGUGGCUUACCAAGGCUUUGCCGGGUAGCCGGCCUGAGAGGGUGACCGGCCACAUGGGGACUGAGAUACGGACCAGACUCCUACGGGAGGCAGCAGUGGGGAAUAUUGCACAAUGGGCGGAAGCCUGAUGCAGCAACGCCGCGUGCGGGAUGACGGCCUUCGGGUUGUAAACCGCUUUCGCCUGUGACGAGGCGUGAGUGACGGUAAUGGGUAAAGAAGCACCGGCUAACUACGUG